rnacentral:rRNA from 1 species
GAUGAACGCUGGCGGCGUGCCUAAUACAUGCAAGUCGAGCGAACGGACGAGAAGCUUGCUUCUCUGAUGUUAGCGGCGGACGGGUGAGUAACACGUGGAUAACCUACCUAUAAGACUGGGAUAACUUCGGGAAACCGGAGCUAAUACCGGAUAAUAUUUUGAACCGCAUGGUUCAAAAGUGAAAGACGGUCUUGCUGUCACUUAUAGAUGGAUCCGCGCUGCAUUAGCUAGUUGGUAAGGUAACGGCUUACCAAGGCAACGAUGCAUAGCCGACCUGAGAGGGUGAUCGGCCACACUGGAACUGAGACACGGUCCAGACUCCGACGGGAGGCAGCAGUAGGGAAUCUUCCGCAAUGGGCGAAAGCCUGACGGAGCAACGCCGCGUGAGUGAUGAAGGUCUUCGGAUCGUAAAACUCUGUUAUUAGGGAAGAACAUAUGUGUAAGUAACUGUGCACAUCUUGACGGUACCUAAUCAGAAAGCCACGGCUAACUACGUGCCAGCAGCCGCGGUAAUACGUAGGUGGCAAGCGUUAUCCGGAAUUAUUGGGCGUAAAGCGCGCGUAGGCGGUUUUUUAAGUCUGAUGUGAAAGCCCACGGCUCAACCGUGGAGGGUCAUUGGAAACUGGAAAACUUGAGUGCAGAAGAGGAAAGUGGAAUUCCAUGUGUAGCGGUGAAAUGCGCAGAGAUAUGGAGGAACACCAGUGGCGAAGGCGACUUUCUGGUCUGUAACUGACGCUGAUGUGCGAAAGCGUGGGGAUCAAACAGGAUUAGAUACCCUGGUAGUCCACGCCGUAAACGAUGAGUGCUAAGUGUUAGGGGGUUUCCGCCCCUUAGUGCUGCAGCUAACGCAUUAAGCACUCCGCCUGGGGAGUACGACCGCAAGGUUGAAACUCAAAGGAAUUGACGGGGACCCGCACAAGCGGUGGAGCAUGUGGUUUAAUUCGAAGCAACGCGAAGAACCUUACUAAAUCUUGACAUCCUUUGACAACUCUAGAGAUAGAGCCUUCCCCUUCGGGGGACAAAGUGACAGGUGGUGCAUGGUUGUCGUCAGCUCGUGUCGUGAGAUGUUGGGUUAAGUCCCGCAACGAGCGCAACCCUUAAGCUUAGUUGCCAUCAUUAAGUUGGGCACUCUAAGUUGACUGCCGGUGACAAACCGGAGGGAGGUGGGGAUGACGUCAAAUCAUCAUGCCCCUUAUGAUUUGGGCUACACACGUGCUACAAUGGACAAUACAAAGGGCAGCGAAACCGCGAGGUCAAGCAAAUCCCAUAAAGUUGUUCUCAGUUCGGAUUGUAGUCUGCAACUCGACUACAUGAAGCUGGAAUCGCUAGUAAUCGUAGAUCAGCAUGCUACGGUGAAUACGUUCCCGGGUCU